UGAAGGGCACUGUGGAUCUCAUAACUUG
rnacentral:piRNA from 1 species